rnacentral:rRNA from 1 species
GAUGAACGCUGGCGGCGUGCCUAACACAUGCAAGUCGAGCGAAGCGGGGACGGGUGAGUAACACGUGGAUAACCUCCUAUAGGAAUGGGAUAACUUCGGGAAACCGGAGCUAAAUCGGAUACUUAUACAUGGUACCGCGUUGCAUUAGCUAGUUGGUAAGGUAACGGCUUACCAAGGCAACGAUGCGUAGCCGACCUGAGAGGAUGAUCAGCCACACUGGAACUGAGACACGGUCCAGACUCCUACGGGAGGCAGCAGUAGGGAAUCUUCCGCAAUGGGCGAAAGCCUGACCGAGCAACGCCGCGUGUGUGAUGAAGGUCUUCGGAUCGUAAAGCUCUGUUAUUAGGGAAGCGGUACCUAAUCAAAAAGCACCGGCUAACUACGUGCCAGCAGCCGCGGUAAUUC